AGGAUUCUCUUAGUAACGGCGAGUGAACAGAGAAGAGCCCAGCACCGAAGCCUAUUCGCGUUUGUGAACAAGGCAAUGUGGUGUUACGGUGUGUGCCUGGGGUCGUCGGUUUAUUCGAAGUCCAGCGUAGAUUAUGGCUCUGGAUGUUGCCCAAAGCGGGUGAAAGGCCCGUACGGAUAAACCUUCAAGCAUGUUUGACGACCUUUCAGUUGCACGUACCUUGGAGUCGGAUAGCUUGAGAGUGCUGUCCAAAGUGGGUGGUAAACUCCAUCUAAGGCUAAAUAUUCACACGAAUCCGAUAGUAGACAAGUACCGUGAGGGAAAGUUGAAAAGUACUCUGAAGAGAGAGUAAAUAGUACGUGAAGCCGCUUGUAAGGAAGCUGGUGGAGUCAAGCUGCAUGCUCUUAGAAUUUAGCCAGUGAUUAUGAUUGUGUGGUGCAAGAUGAGCGACUGGUGGCUUUGUAAUGAGGCCGAUGAACUUGUUCAUCCCGUGUGCUGACCGGUUUGUUUGUGCGGUCCGGUUGCUCUAUUCUUGAUUCGCUGGUGUACUUUCUUUGUAGCAGACAUCACUGUUGGUAUUGCUGCCGGCAUAUUCUGGUAGUCAAACCAUUGGGUUGUGGCAUCUAUGUCAUGCCUGAUGGGAAGGCAGGUGGUUCGUGUGGUGCACUUGUGUGCCGCAUGGAUUUAUUGUGGUUGUGGCCAGCCGAUUACCAAUGUCAAGCAUUUAGCCGUGCAUGUGUACCGUUGCUCUGCAACAGCUCGUGGUCUCGCUGUUCAUUCUUGCCGUGGCUAGGUUUCGUUUCUGCUCAAGCAGUGCGGAGUCUGGUUGUGGUAAGGGUGAGCGUGUGAACUGUGGGCAGUAUAAUAGUGGGUGUAGUGGUAGA
rnacentral:rRNA from 1 species